rnacentral:lncRNA from 1 species
GGGGCUGGGAUUUGAGAUGUCCCUACUUUCUUGGCCGGUGGGACCAGGUGAGGACAUAACGUCUGCCCUUUCUGUGGCAGCAUUAUUCUCACAUUGUAGAGUUUGUGGUGUCCAGAGAUGGUAUAUUGGUAUCCAACUUUGUGAGCCAUGUUGCUCGUAGUUUGGUGAGGUGUGGGAUAUGAUGGUGGAUCAUGUUGAUUGGCAAAUAAAAGAAUAAUCAAUACAUUUAUGCCAUAUGUUAUCAUGCCCAC